AACGAACGCUGGCGGCAUGCCUAACACAUGCAAGUCGAACGAGACCUUCGGGUCUAGUGGCGCACGGGUGCGUAACGCGUGGGAACCUGCCCUUAGGUUCGGAAUAACUCCCCGAAAGGGGUGCUAAUACCGGAUAAUGUCUUCGGACCAAAGAUUUAUCGCCUUUGGAUGGGCCCGCGUUGGAUUAGCUAGUUGGUAGGGUAAAAGCCUACCAAGGCGACGAUCCAUAGCUGGUCUGAGAGGAUGAUCAGCAACACUGGGACUGAGACACGGCCCAGACUCCUACGGGAGGCAGCAGUGGGGUAUAUUGGACAAUGGGCGAAAGCCUGAUCCAGCAAUGCCGCGUGAGUGAUGAAGGCCUUAGGGUUGUAAAGCUCUUUUACCCGGGAUGAUAAUGACAGUACCGGGAGAAUAAGCUCCGGCUAACUCCGUG
rnacentral:rRNA from 1 species